CUAAAAAAUAACAACAAAUUGAUAAUUUUCAAUUUAUAAAGCUCACCUUCAGCUAUGUGAAAUCGAUUCUUGCUAAUCUACCUCCAAAAUUUGCACUAUUUGAUUUGUUCUUGGUUCGGGAAAGGGAACUUCAACAUGUAAUCAUUCAUUGUAAGAAAGAAUAAUGCAUAUGAAGAAGAAUAAAGUUGGAUUUUAAGGUGGGUUUAAUAUGGUGAAAAUGGAGUUGGAAACGAGAGAAAUGAAGGGGAUUUAGGGAUUUAUAUUUGGGGAUUUGGGUAAUAUUGAUCUCCAAAUUGGACAUUUUAGUGAUUUCAAUUUAACGGUAUUUAAGACUUUUAAUAUAUAAUCAAAUAAACUAUAGACUACUUAACCAAAAGUAUUGAUAUAAGCUAUUUUACCAAACAUUAUGAUUGACUAGGCUUCUUAAACAAAUCCCCCUUUUUUAUUUUUAGUAUUAUCAUUUUUUUCCGAGUCUUGUAGUUUCUAGAGAUCUCAGUUAAGUAAAGAAAUGUGCACGUCUUCAUUUUGAGUUUGGUGAGUUGCAUGGAAACGCAAUGGCAUUAAUGAUCUCAUGUUGAACCUACUUUUACUGAAUAAGAAAUUUGUGAUUUUUGUUUCCAUUGACAGUCAGUGUUAUCUAAGGGGAGCUUUAUGUUCCUACAUUGGAAUGGUGUUAGGUUUACAUGGAAGCUUAAAUGUCUGAAAUGGUUUCGCACUUCCAUUGAUUUGCUAAAUUUUGAAGAGUUUUCUUAUAGAGUCGGCGUAAAAUACUCUUGUCAUUUAUGUGGUAUUUAUGGAAGUGCGGCUUAAAGGCAACCGCCUAUCUUUUCUCACUGGAAUCAUGACACCCAUUUUUCGUUCUUUGAAGUGAUUCUCACGCCACAAGUUCCUAUUCUCCCUUCAAAAUGGACAAAAUAAGAAAUUUAUUUCUAAACUCACACUGUAGUUACAUAAGUGCCUGUUAUAUAUUGUUACCUAAAGUUCUCUGAUUUUUGUUAUUACAUACACUUGCAAUUACACAGUUGAAAUUUGGUUACCCGGUAUGGAAACUAAAUAUUUAUAUUUGUUUGUUUUUUGUUUUUCUGACCACUUUACAGUUAACAACUAACCUAAACUGUAACUUUUUGUGGUUAUUACCUGAAAAUCAUUCACAGUUUCUGUCUGAUGUUGUAAGAGGCCCGCUUGGUUAUUAAUAUUUGGAUCAUAUUGUUUUCUAUGUAGUGGCCCAGUAUUCUGGAAACGAGUCGACAUCAUGAGGCAUUUGGAUUUUAUACCCUGCUCCUAAGCCCUGUGGACUUGAGGCCUGACAAUAGGGACCUGCCAGCGUUCAACAAUCCCUUAACUUUUAUUGAUCAUUUAUGAUCUCUCUAGAGUGAGGUGGAUGAGCUAAAAACCAGCCCUCCUAGAGCUUGAAAUUGGGUUGGUCCAUUAAGGUCUUGCCAUAAUUUGAAGGAAGGAGAGUAGGAGGACAAUUUGCAUAUUGUAAAAUUCAUUCUUUGACAGGUCGAUGCUGCAGUUCUUCAGUACCAGAACCAGGUUGAUGCUACAGUUCUUCAGUACCAGAACCAGAAACUUGGUCAGCAAUCAGAAGUACAGAAGCAAUAGUUAUAUAUGUGAUCUUGAAGCCAAAAUUAUGGAAUUAAAGUGAAUCAACUUUGGAAUCCAGUAAUUCACAUACAGGACCUCUUUUAUUCGAAGAUUUAAUUUUACUUGGUGUGCGAGCUGGGGCAGGCAAAAGUGCCUUACAACACCUAGAUCAUGUUGAUUCUUCUUGAGAUACCGACUCUGUCCGUAGGUUCAAUUCCAUCAUGUCCUUUGGAGGAUAUAUUCCUCUGUAGACUACUACAAAGAAAUUCCAUUCCAAGGGAUGGAGCUAAUGGAUCAAUUAAUUACAUUAAAAAAGCUCUUGCAUCACGUCAGGCUUCUACACGGGGAUUAAUGAAAUUACUGGAAGAUGCUAUUGAUGCUUUAAGAGAUAAACUUGAGGACAUCGCUCAGGCUUUGCAGGGAAACCAAUCUGCAGAAGAUGUUAUCUUCCAAUUACAUAAGCUGAAUGAUUUAAUGAAAGAGGAGGCUGGUCAUUUGCACGAGGGAAUUGAUGUUCUUCAUUUGAAGCAUAAAAAUUCAGACUUGCUUCAAUAACCAUUCAGUGGAUCAAUCUGAGAUAAAGCGUCUUGCAGGUGAGCUAAAAGAAAGCAUAGCAGAGCUUGAAGAAAGCAGAAGAAAGUUGAUUAAUCAGAAAAUGCAGAAAAUCAGGGCAUCUGGGGUACAGGUUCCACCAGUUCCUGUUUUAGGUGUAGCGAAUGGACUAUGUCUCCUGAAAAGCCUUCAGAUACGUUUAAGCGGUUAAGGGAAUUAAAAAAUUCUAUUGAGGAAGUAAAGGGAGAAAAGAUGUUAAUGAGUUGUUCAAGGUAAUGGCAUCUGCUUUGUUGAAGGAAAUGGGAAUGAUGGAAGGCCGGGUGAAUCGGUGAAAGGGGACAGCUGAAGAGGUCGUGUCCUUGCACGAUAAAGCCCAGUCAUUGAAUUCUUUACCGGACAGAAAGAACUUGUCAAGGCAUGUGUAGUGAAGGUUCAUGAACUGUACGAGAACUGCUUUCAAAAGUUCAGCUGAACAAGUAUCAUCGCAUAUUUGUCUAGAAGCUAUCGAGUGGUGAUUUACCUGGAUUCCCGUGCCUUGUACUGAUUGAGAAAAUUCAGAAGGAAAAACAAGAGCUUGAAGUUUUUAUGAACAUGCUGGGUCAACAAAUAUAUGAUAAUAGAAAGAGGCUACGGAAAGAAGAAAAUUUGUCAGCAAAUGACAUCCAACAACAAAGGGUACCAUUAGGCGCAACUACAGGGUCCCGUCCAAGUCCGAAGAGGCUCGUCUUCAUAAGUCCAUUGCUUCUCUACUGUCAGAUGAUGAACACUUCAGAGAUGCUACAUCCCACAAGGGCUGUCAAAUUAGGAGGGAAAAUGCUCGUGGAGAAAGUGCAUGUUGCAACAAUGUCAGAGCUUUGUGCGAUGAGCUCCCAACACCACACUUGAUAAUCGAAAUCUCACCUUUUCCAGCUGGUCCUCUUAGUGACAACGAUUAUGCAAAGGCUGAGAAGCUUGAGAGUUCUCAGAUCCAGUCCUACUGUUUGAGCGUAUUUUGGAUAGCAACUGUAUGUAUGUGUCUUCUGAACGAGAACGAUUAUUCGAAGGCUGAGAAACUCGAGAGGAUGUUCACAUCUGGCCCUGAAUGAAUUUGACUUGAACUGCUACUGUAUCAGAUCUCAUGUACAUGUUACAAUGAAUGGAACUUUGCUGCAAUAAUCUUGGAUCAUCUGCGCAUCAAAUGCCUAAGAGUUUUAACCUCUCAAGAACUUGAAUUUGUAUAAUUGCAAAAAGGUAGAAUACAUUUGAGCUAAAAUUUUACAUGCACCCACAAAUGAAAUCUCAAGAACCAACGCACCUUUGUCU